rnacentral:misc_RNA from 1 species
GCUGGGGAUGCAGUAACGGUGGAGCUAGCAGAGUCGGCUAGGGGGCGGGUGAAGGCGAGCAGUGACUGGGUGAUUAACAGCAUGAACAUGGGGACCGAUAGCUACGGUGUCACCACCGGCUUCGGCGCCACAUCUCACCGCCGGACAAAGAAGACUGCAGAUCUCCAAGCCGAGCUUAUCCGGUUUCUUAAUGCCGGUGUGAUCGGGAAGGAGUCGCUGCCGACGAGCUACGCCAAGAUCGCCAUGCUGGUCAGGACCAACACUCUCAUGCAGGGGUACUCGGGGAUUCGAUGGGAGCUUCUUGAGGCCAUGGCGACUCUCAUGAACCAGAAUCUCAUCCCGAAGUUGCCACUACGAGGCACCAUCAGCGCCUCCGGCGAUCUCGUGCCGCUGUCGUAUAUCGCCGGACUUCUCACCGGCCGGCACAACUCCAA